rnacentral:rRNA from 1 species
UACGAAGGGGGCUAGCGUUGCUCGGAAUCACUGGGCGUAAAGCGUACGUAGGCGGAUCUUUAAGUCAGGGGUGAAAUCCUGGAGCUCAACUCCAGAACUGCCUUUGAUACUGGGGAUCUCGAGUCCGGAAGAGGUGAGUGGAACUCCGAGUGUAGAGGUGAAAUUCGUAGAUAUUCGGAAGAACACCAGUGGCGAAGGCGGCUCACUGGUCCGGUACUGACGCUGAGGUGCGAAAGCGUGGGGAGCAAACAGG